AAGAGAGAGAAACGAAACUGAUGGAAGCGUAGAAAUCCAAGCUCAAGGCCCCGAGGGAGAGAAGACACACGAGCAGUUUCCAAGGAGACACUGCUUUAUCGGGAUGCAGGAUGUGACAGUUUGUACAACUGCACAGUGAAAAGCAGAACCCGACACCGGCAGCAGGCGCCGCCACUGACGUUUUCACCCGUUUCGCUUCCUUUCAGCCCGAGGACCUCAUUCAUGCCACAGGGAAGAGCCUGGCCAUGAAGCUGUACCUGCAACCCUUGAGUAAUUUCCUGAAUGGCCACAGGUUUUGCUGAAGCUGCUAAGAAGAUCUCUCUCAGCAAGCAUCAGAGGCCUGCAAGUCAGAGUAUAUCACAGUGAAUACUUCUGAAACCCACUGGGGGGGGUCUCCUUGUUUUGUGGGAGGGUCUCCUUAUUUGAGAGGACCCAUCACAGGUCUGCCCUGGGCCACUUCUUCUUUAGGGCUUGGAGCUGCGACUCUAGAGGGGUUAUUUUGAGCGCCAGCUACAAAAGCUUGUGUGUCUAUCAUCUACCUAUCAUGAACAUCAUAACAUACACAUCCUUUAUAUAUACGUGUAUCUAUGGACACAUGUAUGUGUGUACCUCUGUCCACGAACUUAAUUCAUCCUGUGAUUCUGAAAAAGAUGGCCACAUUCAUGUUCACGCAGGGAAGAUGGCUGCGUUCAUACUCAUUACCCCAUGCAGAGAUCACCAUCAAAAACAAAACUUUGCUAAACGCUUCUGUUUACAAACUACGUUGUUCACAAGUAAAAGUGUCCGUGAACCAAGGCAGCACUGUCUAUGUCUAAAACGAGCCCUGAGCCUUCAGUAAAUGCUGAUUGCUUUCUUACGUUUAUACAGCUGCACCUUGUUUUCCAGAUGCACUAUAUACAUUUGUUGUUCCCACUAAGGAGUUUAAGGCGAAUAAUUAAUGAAUGGAAUUAUGUGACUCAUCCUGUUGAAGAAAAUGAUUCCAUUUCUAAUGGGAAAUUACCGCAAUAAUUUCAGUAGCAUAGCAGUUACCAUCAGAGAGACGUGAGUAAUAACAACUUCCUGUUUGUAGGAGUCUCUUCUGUACGGUUCUCGUCUAACACCCGAGCUGAGCUGAACUGGACCUGGCCAGCGUGCAGCCAAACGCCCUGCCCCACUCAGCAGCUCCUCCCGCAGCGCGGGGCCCUGGAACAACCUGGAGAUCUGAAUGGUGACACAGUAGCAAAGCCAGGAUGAUGCUGGAAACAUGCACGGAGCAAAACCAGUUCUGAGCUAAACGAAGCUUCACGCUCGUGGCGCUGCCAGAUGGUUCCAAGGGUCCUGGCUUCCUACCUUGCCCACGUUCACAUUUCCACUCUCAACCAAAGAAGCCCAGCUCUCACAGACAGGCACUCAGCCUGCCUACCAUGCACGCAAAACAAAAGCGGAAACGAAAAAGAUACCGUAAUUCACCAAAGGGCCGGUCUCUGUACUUUUCUACAAGCGAUUUUUUUUCUCCUGUCACAAAACUAUGAGACACAGAGAAAGUUCAGUUCCUUUGUCGGUCCUCCCCUGAGUGCUUACAGCCGUCUCUGACUUCUCUUCCAAAGCAUGCCCUUCCCUUUCUCCCCGGGUCCCCAGCUGCCUUCUUUCUCUCUCCUACACCCCUGCCCAAGCCCUGCCCAGUGUGUGUGUUGGGGUUCACUGCUCCGCGAUUAACGUCUGCCCAGCCAGCCUCGGGGAUGGUUUCUGAUUAACUGUGAACAGGGGCCCCCAGGCCCGGGUUCUCCCCGCUGUUUCCUCACAUCCUCAGCCCCUCCCGUCCGCAGCUCCCCCGUUACGCCGUCCUCCUGACCCUUCCCACCAUCCCUGUUUCCGCCGCCCUUUCUCAGUAAGGGUCUUUGCGCAGAGUCUCAGUGACCAAGGAGGAGCAUGGCCCACAGCAGGCCGGGCGUGGGGCCCGGCUCCUCUAGUCCACCUGGCCAGUUUCCCCAGAGGGCCUGGGGGACACCUCGGCUCCGCCUCCCGCUGCCAGCCUCGGCCCACUGCAGGGCACAGGUUCUCACUGGGGGGUUGAGGGACCCCAGGGCAGUUGGUUAAUUUUCCAAACUGGGUCAAGGGGUGGGGCCUGGUGUGUGGGAGCACUCACACCAAGGUCCCUGGUCCCUUGCAGACCCUGGGCUCAGGCCCUGGGACACUCUGGGCAAGACCGGGACCCUGCGUGCCAGCCAGC